GAUGAACGCUGGCUACAGGCUUAACACAUGCAAGUCGAGGGGAAACGACGGGGAAGCUUGCUUCCCCGGGCGUCGACCGGCGCACGGGUGAGUAACGCGUAUCCAACCUGCCUCUGACUGAGGGAUAACCCGUCGAAAGUCGGCCUAAUACCUCAUGGUAUCGUCUGCGGGCAUCCAACGACGAUUAAAGAUUUCAUCGGUCAGGGAUGGGGAUGCGUCUGAUUAGCUUGUUGGCGGGGUAACGGCCCACCAAGGCUACGAUCAGUAGGGGUUCUGAGAGGAAGGUCCCCCACAUUGGAACUGAGACACGGUCCAAACUCCUACGGGAGGCAGCAGUGAGGAAUAUUGGUCAAUGGGCGAGAGCCUGAACCAGCCAAGUAGCGUGCAGGAAGACGGCCCUAUGGGUGGUAAACUGCUUUUAGGCGGGGAUAAAGUGAGGGACGUGUCCCUCAUUGCAGGUACCGCAUGAAUAAGGACCGGCUAAUUCCGUG
rnacentral:rRNA from 1 species